GGUAGCUAAAUGCGGAAGAGAUAAGUGCUGAAAGCAUCUAAGCACGAAACUUGCCCCGAGAUGAGUUCUCCCUGAGACUUAAAGUCUCCUGAAGGAACGUUGAAGACGACGACGUUGAUAGGCCGGGUGUGUAAGCGCAGCGAUGCGUUGAGCUAACCGGUACUAAUGAACCGUGAGGCUUAACCUUACAACGCCGAAG
rnacentral:rRNA from 1 species